CCUGGAUGAUCAUUGGAGUUUUCCUUUUCGAACACUAGUUGAGUGCAUUAAUUCCUAAGCCACCAGCACGUUAUCCGUUAUAAUUUGCUCGGAUAUGAAUGCCCCUUGUUUCGCAGCAACCAAAUUUUUUGACCUCAAAAGUUCCAUCCUAAAAGCUAAUAUAUAUUUUAGAAAUGAUUUUGUACGGAGUAUUAGAUAGUCUUAUAGGCC
rnacentral:lncRNA from 1 species